rnacentral:rRNA from 1 species
AUUGAACGCUGGCGGCAGGCCUAACACAUGCAAGUCGAGCGGAUGAAGGGAGCUUGCUCCUGGAUUCAGCGGCGGACGGGUGAGUAAUGCCUAGGAAUCUGCCUGGUAGUGGGGGAUAACGUCCGGAAACGGGCGCUAAUACCGCAUACGUCCUGAGGGAGAAAGUAGGGGAUCUUCGGACCUCACGCUAUCAGAUGAGCCUAGGUCGGAUUAGCUAGUUGGUGGGGUAAAGGCCUACCAAGGCGACGAUCCGUAACUGGUCUGAGAGGAUGAUCAGUCACACUGGAACUGAGGCACGGUCCAGACUCCUACGGGAGGCAGCAGUGGGGAAUAUUGGACAAUGGGCGAAAGCCUGAUCCAGCCAUGCCGCGUGUGUGAAGAAGGUCUUCGGAUUGUAAAGCACUUUAAGUUGGGAGGAAGGGCAGUAAGUUAAUACCUUGCUGUUUUGACGUUACCAACAGAAUAAGCACCGGCUAACUUCGUG